GGGGCUGGGAGUGAGGCCAGGUGGAGGUGGGGAAGCCAAGGGAGGGGAGGCCGGCCAGGUAGCCACGGAAGGCGCCAGGAGAGACAGCAAUGGCAGCAAGGAUGCACCAAGAGGGACCCAAGAGCACCGCUGAGGCAGUCCUGCCAAAACAGUGACUUGAUCCAUUCCGGAGGAAACAUCAGCCCCCAACCCCCGCCAAAAAAAAGAAACUGGCCUGGACUCUUUGAAAGGGACUGAGACAUGACAGCAGAAUGCCAAGUCUUUUGCUAUAAAUGACAAUAGUGGGACAACUGGUAAAAUCUGAGUAAGAUCUGUAGACUGGAUACCAGUACUGUAUCAGCGUUAGUUUCCUGAGUUGGAUUGUUAUACCUAGUAAUGUAAGAAAAUGACCUUUCUUUUCAAGGAAA